rnacentral:lncRNA from 1 species
UCUUGGGAGGAAAAUUGUGGGUGGGAAUGCCCCGAUGAUGGAUUCUCUAAUCAUGUGUAUGUUACCCAAGUUAACUUCCAUCCUGCCAUCAAGCUGGGAUUUGGUGCCUGUGGAAAUAUUAAGAGUAUCUGGAGCCACCUCCUCAAAAUCAUGAUGCUUCUUUUGCCUCUUAAAAUAAUCUACAGAAAUGGCAAUGAAAAUGAGAGUAGAUGCAUAAAGAGAAAAAGUUCUGGCGAGAGUUCCAGGUACCUUACAUGGAAGCAGCUGGGUAAACAGUGAUUUUGAGGCAUUAACACAUCAUAUUUGUACAGCAAUGAGAGUUUUGAAAAACAUUCAUCCUUCACACUCAAAGUGAAGCCAGACAUAACAUUUACUAAAAAGCAAGAGUCUAGUACAGUGUUGGAGAUGCAUCCUGCCUCGCCCAAAUUUCCAAAUGUUUGCUCCACUAUUCUUUACAAACAUCUCAAGGAAACUUCAACAACUUUUCAGCUUGUUUAAUGUUAAUGAAAGUGAAUAUCCCAAUGUUCUGAAAAAAGCAAAAACUGUCUUUCCAGCUGCUUGGCCUGAUGGAAGUAUAAAGGCGGGCUUUUAGUAUGCAGCAAAGCUGUGCGUGAUGUCUCUGAUUUUAAAUGUUUCACCCAAAAUGUAAUACGACUAUGUUUAUUUUUUUCUCUUUUACAUGAGGGAAGUGUUUCCAUAAGACCUGGAAGACAAGACAUAAUGUGGGGACACAAAGGCAGAUGAAGACUUAUUGCUCAUUCUUCUUUUUUCCACUUCCUGAAAUAGACAGUCCUUCCCUCCUGAUCCAAACCCGAUUCAUUGUGUCAUAUCUAACUAAAAUGGCACCUUUCCUAAGAGUGCUUGUUCUUUGUGACUCCAGGACGUUCUAUCAGCCAUUGUUGUGGAUACCCUUCCCCACACAUUUUAGAGCUCCAAGUACAGCACAGUGAUGGCAUUUCAUGCUCCUUGGAACCUGUGAGGUGGGUGCCACAUCGUCUUCACUUUUUGGAUGUGAAAGCUGAAGCUCAGAGGUCCUGUCACCAGUCUAUGUGUCAAGGUCAUACACAUCAGUUAGUGAACAGCCAGGGUCUGCAGCCUCACUGUCCAGCUUCGGGGGGCUCCACGCGGAAACUCCCUGCAGUUCUCUGUUCUCCGCGGUAACCUCACUCGUGGAUUCCUUUAAGGCCUAUUCUUUUAUCUUCAACUAAACCAUGAAUCCCUUGAUGACAGCUUUUGUCUUGUACUUUUUUUUACAUCUGGAUAGCCACUUCACAAAAGAAUACCUGCAGGAGUCUAUCAUACGUGCACUGAUUGAGAUGGAUCAUGUGAGGAUAUGUAAAACCAGAGACUCAAAAAAUAGCAAACUGAACAUUUAGAUAAGGAAUCAAGGUGAAGAUGGAUAAACAUGCAAGUUUGAAAGAAAGCAGGAACAAGGCAAUCCAACUUGUAUUUUCUGUAAGCUGGCGGCAGAACAUUUAACUGCCAGCUCCUGACAAGGUUUGGAAAACUCAUCAGUGGGAAAGCAGCCAAAACACUGCUCAAGCAUGGGUGGUCACCAGCAGCAAAGGAGGGAAAGCAAGCCAGAAAGAAAGAAGGAAAGAGAGAGUUUUUAUAUAAGUGCUUUCCCAUGAUGUUCUAGCUAUGUGCUUUACUAAAGCAGUGUAACUGUCACCAUCCUGCUGAAAGCUCAAAUUAAGGUGAUGCAAUGAGGAAGCAUUUCAUAUUAAUAACGGCA